AGAACUGAGAUUUCUAGGUACCGAGUCUCUGGAGAAAAUUCUCUCUUUACCCAGAAGCCUCAGCAUCAAAUUAUCAGAAGUUCUGCCGGGCUGCAUCCUAAGGAAUGAAAAGACAAGGGCAAGAACUAUGAGAUGGCACAUGUGUCCUCCAGGACCUGGUGUGGAGCAGGA
rnacentral:lncRNA from 1 species